UACGGCCAAAUCACGUUCAAACAUUGGUUCCUGUACGAUCACAAUUGUUAAGCAACGUCAAGCCUGGUCAGUAGCAAGAUGGGUAACCGCUUGGGAAUACCAGGUGCUGUAAG